rnacentral:tRNA from 1 species
GCCCCGGUGCUGGAACUGGUAGACAGGCCCGCCUUGCACGCGGGUGACCAAUCCGGUCGUCCGGGUCCGAUCCCCGGCCGGGGCA